CCAUGGGAAACAGAAGGAACACUAAAAGAGGAUAAAAGACAUGGAAAGUUAUCCAGCUGUGGAUCCGUAGUUGACACUGGAUGAAAUUCCUGAAUCAAAGAGAGGACAGAAGGAAGGAAGAGAAGAAGGAAGAAAAUGGCCCCAGAAGCAGAUAUGGAGGAGCCAAGACAGAUCCUUACAGACUACAUUCAGAACAAGGCUCACUACAGUAUUCCCUACAGUGCUCUAU
rnacentral:lncRNA from 1 species